AAACCUAUUUAUUUUUAACUGAAGGAAAGUUGCUUCACAAUAUUGUGCUGGCCUCUACCAUACAUCAAGGCUGCCUGUCUCCAGUGAGGGCUCUCAAGGAACCAGGGGCCCUAAAAGCAACCCCCUCCAGCUGAGGAGGUGAAACAGAAUUUGCUAGUCAAAUAAGCUAAUGUUGAGGAAGGCAUGGCAACACACUCCAGUAUUCUUGCUUGGAGAAUCCGCAUGGACAGAGGAGCCUGGCCGGCUGAAGUCCGUGGGGUUGCAAAAAGCUGGACACAACUGAGCGACCAAGCACAGCACAGCACAGCACAAGCCAGUGACGUUUAAGAUGACAAAAAUCAUACAUUCAACAAAUGGACAAAGUAAAGAUGCACUGAAAAUGAAUUACUUGGGCUUCCCUGGUGGCUCAGUGGUAAAGAAUCUGCUCGCCAAUGCAGGAACAUGGGUUCGAUUCCUGGUCUGGGAAGAUCCCACACACCAUGGAGCAACUAAGCCUGUGAGCCGCAACUGUUGAGCCCAUGAGCAAAAACUACUGCAGUCCAUGUGCCUAGAGCCUCUGCUCCACAAUGAGAGAAGCCACCGCCGUGAGAAGCCUGCACACUGAAGCUAGAGUAGCCCCACCAGGGAAAAACCCAUGCAGCAACAAAGGCCCAGCACAGCCAAAAAUAAAUAAAAUUAGUUUUUAAAAAUGAAUUUCUUGCUGUCCAUUAGUUCAUGUAUAUCAAAUGCAGCAG